UCGACUUCUGAACAUGGAGGUAAUGUGCUGA
rnacentral:piRNA from 1 species